ensembl:lncRNA
AGGGUGCCAGUACAGAGUGGAUGUGCAGGGGUAUGAGGUAGUAACAUUGCUAUAUGAACAGGGUAUCAGUACAGAGUGGAUGUGCAGGGGUAUGAGGUAGUAACAUGGCUAUAUAAACAGGGUACCAGUACAGAGUGGAUGUGCAGGGGUAUGAGGUAGUAACAUGGCUAUAUAAACAGGGUAACAGUACAGAGUGAAUGUGCAGGGGUAUGAGGUAGUAACAUGGCUAUAUAAACAGGGUACCAGUAGAGAGUGGAUGUGCAGGGGUAUGAGGCAGUAACAUGGCUAUAUAAACAGGGUACCAGGACAGAGUGGAUGUGCAGGGGUAUGAGGUAGUAACAUGGCUAUAUAAACAGGGUACCAGUAGAGAGUGGAUGUGCAGGGG